UAUAUAGCAUACAAAUUAUUAUUAUGCAUAAUCCAUGAACAUAUAUGGUAGAUAUAUAGAUACAACAUAUUGAGCCCAUUUUUAUUGUCUGUGCAUAUGCAGUUUCAGAGGUGGCCUUUUAGUUUUGGAUUUUAUUUGGACCACUUAAAGAAGUAUGGGUAUGUCCUGCUUGUUGGAGAAGAAGAGAUUCAAAGACAUCUCUGCCACUGAAAUGCACCUAGUAUAGAUGAUGGCUUAUGAAGCUGGAACUUUGAGUGUAUACACAAUGUCAGGCAGCUCAACAGGUUGUGGUGUCUUCCUGGCAGGUUAGUUUGCUUGUGAUCUACCACCUUAUCUUCAAACAGAAGACUCCAAAUGUUUAUGCCUUCUGCAAUUUUUUUCCCCUGACUUUUAUGUCAGUUGUGCCCUGGUAUGUAAUUCUGUGCCUUUGCCACAUUUUGACCCAGUCCAUGCAUAAGGUUUGCCCUCAGUUUAUCCAAUACCAUCGGAUUCAGUGGCCUUCUGUCAUCUGUUCUCCACACAAUCGCCUGGCCUCAGCACUGUGUGGCUGGCUGCCCUCCAGAUCCUCAUCCUGGAAGCAGCUGUCCUCACAAGGAGAGAGGAGCUUGGUUCAUCUGUAAAUAUUUUCAAGGAGCGGGACUCAAUGUCACAAAGAGGUCAAGGCUUCAGUCAUGUGGGAAGAGUGACAUGAUAGCAUAUGAGAAACGAUUAAACUUAGCAGGCAGUACUGUGCCUCUAAAGUGACAGAGACCUAAAGCGAACCAGUGUAUAUUAGAAGCCUUGCCUUACUGUCUUUCUAGCUAGGCUCUCCAAAUUCAACCUUAAGAUACUCGUGAUGUUGCCUGGAGCAUUUCAGUGAGCUCUUUGUAAAGCUUGGUUCUUCAGACCUCUCUUAAGUACUUUACAUAUACAAGGUUAGGAUGUACCCCUGAAGUAAAGAGAGUAUCAAAUAUUAGCAGAUACAGGCUCAGGGAGUUUGCCUUCUAUUUAGACAAUUUUGGUGAAUUCUAGUCUCCACACAGACUGGAAUAUUAAACAUGUCAUGAUGAAGUCGGAAGAAAUGGGCACCAAAGGAAAGGAUGGAUUAUUGUCACUGGGAGGAUUCAGUGUUAUGCAAGAAGUGGGUGUUGACAUGAAAUGUGGAUGAGUUCUUUUACCCUCUUGUAUGCUAGUGUCUGAGAUGUACAUUUCUUAGGAAGAACACAAUGUAAUGAAAAAUGAGGUGUGUUAUUUGAAGGUGAGUUAAUAUGGAGCAUCAUUGCUAGCAGUCAGAGCUGACUAGAGAAGAGCUCAUUCUGAAUGAAACGUAGAAAAGAGUUUGAUAGGCUAUGUGAGACCAUUUUGGAUGUCUAUCAAAGUUCACAUCAAUGAGAAACAUGCCCUGUGGAGAAGAGGGUCCCAAGGUCUAGGUUAGGAGUAAUAAACUACUCUUCUAACACUGCUGGAAGAAGAUGGAUGGACCACAAAGGCUCUGAGGACACACUACUUGAAUUCAAAUUUCAGCCUCUAGUUUUCUGUGUGUGCCGUUACGUUACAUGAAUCAUUUACUCUCUGUACCCACAGUGUGCUCAUGUGUAAAAAGAGGAUUAAAGUUGACCAAGUCUUCUUAAACUUUCAACUUGGACACUCAGCAUGCAAAGUAUAUAAACAAAUCAAAUGUUAUUAAUAAUAAAAGAUGACUUUAUUUUAAAAUAACUCUUUUGUUUAUGUAACUGUUUACUACUUGUAAAAGACAAAAACAAAUGUAUAAACCUGUGCGAUUUUUUGAGUUUAUUUAUAGGAAAAGAAGUAUAUCAUGGAUGACUAUUUGACAUCACAGCAUGUGAAGCAAA
rnacentral:lncRNA from 1 species